rnacentral:rRNA from 1 species
UACGUAGGGUCCGAGCGUUGUCCGGAAUUAUUGGGCGUAAAGGGCUCGUAGGCGGUCCGUCACGUCGGGAGUGAAAACUCAGGGCUCAACCCUGAGCGUGCUUCCGAUACGGGCGGACUAGAGGUAUGCAGGGGAGAACGGAAUUCCUGGUGUAGCGGUGGAAUGCGCAGAUAUCUGGAGGAAUACCGGUGGCGAAGGCGGCAUCCUGGACCGGCAUUGACGCUGAGGAGCGAAAGCUAGGGGAGCAAACGGG